UUUGUCAAACAAUCGAGUUCAGACCAAUUAAAUGUGGCAGACCAAUAUUGAUAGAAGUCUUACUGAUUUUCUUCAUUUAGUUUUUUAUACUUCUCCCUAGUAUUCAUUUGAUGCAUCAGAAGGUGAUAAUAUGGUGGCAGAUGCUUUACCUUUUCUUUAACCUACUGCUUGAGUGUCUUCAUCAUCGCAAAAUCGAGAUGUAUUACUUGGAGCUUUCUUGGGUAGCCUACUAAGAUAUUUUAAAAUUGUCUG
rnacentral:lncRNA from 1 species